AUAUUUCUCUUAAAGGGGUUCGGGGACAAACAAACAGUAUAUGUGCCUUAAAAGGUUCAUCAGUGGAUCUGCCCUGCUCAGCUGAACAUCCCACUUCAAGCAUGAAAUGGUACACUGCACACUGGAAUGGAUCUACAGUUGUUCAGAAUGAACUCUCCGUAGAUGGAAACCGUGUAAUGUACAAGCCUGAAGAAAAUCAUCCAACUCUAACAAUCAAUGAUCUGAGAGAGAGUGAUGCAAACUUUUACUGCUGCAGAGAGAAUACUGACCAACCACAACUCUGCUGGGACAAUAGAAAUCAGCUCUAUGUUUCAGACCUGCAGGUAAAGGUGAUUCCUGCCACAGAGGGACAGACAGUAACACUGAUAUGUAGCACCAGCUGUCCUCUGACUGAAACCCCUGCAGCCUACAUCUGGUACAAGAACAGAGAGUUUCUCUAUCAGGACUGGUCUCCCUUGUACCAACAGCUGGUCAGCAGUGAGGAAGCAGUCAGAUACUCCUGUGCUAUCAAAGGCUACAAGGAUCUCAGAGCCCCUGAAGUCUCAGUGGGUGAGUGACAACGUUUAGCUUCUUAUCAUGUGACAAAAGCUCUUUAUACAUAUUUUUACUCAUAUAGGAAUAAUGUUAUUAUCAGGCACUGGAAGCUUAAAUUACAAAGCUCAUGAAGUACUGUGACUGUGUACAUCACUCUAAAUAAUAUUUCACAUUUCUGUUUUUGUCCAGAUUCUAUCACAUCAACCUGCUUUACUGUGACCUAUGCUAAAGGGAGAAUGUGUUCUUAUAAGCAGACAUCAGAGGAUGAGCCCUGCUCCAUCACAUAUCCCAGAGGUUAAGUCUCCAAAAACAAACACACAAACACAUCUCCUAAACACUUCACACUGUUAUAUAUAUUUGCUUUCUUUGUUUUUCUCAUUUUUAGCACAAGCACAAUAACUGACCGUACACAUUCUCUCCUAAUGGAUUAUCAAUGCUUUGAGUUAAUAUUUAAUCAUUUCUGUAAUCAAUUUGAACAUGUAUUUAAUAAUGGAUGAAAUAUAUAUUUGGCAUCUCCCAACAGAAGUACAUGUUAACAGGAGUCCUGCAGCCAAUCAGGACCAUAUCAGUCUGACCUGUAACACCAGCUGUCCUCUGACUGCCACUGUGUGGUAUAAGAACGGACACAGAGAGCACGAGAGACCACUGUAUGUAGUUCCCAACACUUCUAUUGACACAAUCUUCUGUGCUGUAAAAGGUUUCGAGGAUCUGCACUCUGAUGAAGUCUGUGAGUAUGAACCAACUCAAUGUCUGUUAGAACAUUUGUGUUAUGAUCUCAGUUGUGAUUUUGAAAAGAUAAUGAGAAACAUGAUGACUUUAAUAAUGUUUAAACGUAACAGGAUGUUAUAAACAGAAAUGCAUUAGAG
rnacentral:lncRNA from 15 species